rnacentral:rRNA from 1 species
UACGGAGGGGGCUAGCGUUGUUCGGAAUUACUGGGCGUAAAGCGCACGUAGGCGGCUUUGUAAGUUAGAGGUGAAAGCCCGGGGCUCAACUCCGGAAUUGCCUUUAAGACUGCAUCGCUAGAGUUGUGGAGAGGUAAGUGGAAUUCCGAGUGUAGAGGUGAAAUUCGUAGAUAUUCGGAAGAACACCGGUGGCGAAGGCGACUUACUGGACACAUAUUGACGCUGAGGUGCGAAAGCGUGGGGAGCAAACAGG